rnacentral:rRNA from 1 species
CGAGCUUGAGGACUUCGGUUCUCAGGUUAGUGGCGCACGGGUGCGUAACGCGUAUGCAACCUACCUCUCACUGGGGGAUAGCCCGAGGAAACUCGGAUUAAUACCGCAUAAGAUAGCUGACCUGGCAUCAGGUUGUUAUUAAAGCUUUGGCGGUGGGAGAUGGGCAUGCGUGCCAUUAGCUAGUUGGUAGUGUAACGGACUACCAAGGCUUCGAUGGCUAGGGGCUCUGAGAGGACGGUCCCCCACACUGGUACUGAGACACGGACCAGACUCCUACGGGAGGCAGCAGUAGGGAAUAUUGGGCAAUGGCCGCGAGGCUGACCCAGCCAUGCCGCGUGCAGGAUGAAGGCCUUCUGGGUUGUAAACUGCUUUUAUCAGGGAAGAAAACGCUCCUGCGGGAGUAACUGACGGUACCUGAUGAAUAAGCACCGGCUAACUCCGUGCCAGCAGCCGCGGUAAUACGGAGGGUGCAAGCGUUGUCCGGA